rnacentral:rRNA from 1 species
UACGUAGGUGGCAAGCGUUGUCCGGAUUUACUGGGCGUAAAGAGCGCGCAGGCGGUCGUUCAAGUCGCGUGUGAAAGCCCCCGGCUCAACUGGGGAGGGUCACGCGAUACUGAUCGACUCGAAGGCAGGAGAGGGUAGUGGAAUUCCCGGUGUAGUGGUGAAAUACGUAGAUAUCGGGAGGAACACCAGUGGCGAAGGCGACUACCUGGCCUGUUUCUUGACGCUGAGGCGCGAAAGCUAGGGGAGCAAACGGG